CCAAAAAAAAAACGGCAUAUCCCAUUUGCAAAAGAGCUACAACCUAGCGCCUCUCCCCUCUGAAUUGGGAAGUUUUCACCUGCAGCCAUGAAAAUAUAUCUUUCACCUAUAUUUCUCAAUUGAAGGACAAGCUAAAAGAAAAAUAGAUCGGCUGCUCCUUUCCCAUUUUUCGAUUCCAAAGCAAGGACAUUUGCUCUCUGUUCUUCGCUUUUUUCUGCUGAAGGCCGAUUCAAUGUUCCAUUCGAGGUUCGUGGUUUUGAUUUAGCUCGCGGUUUCUGCUCGAUAUUGUUGCUGAUUUCAGUUGGAAUUUUGGAGUAAAAUUCCUCUACUAUUAUUAAAAGAAUUUCAAAUUAACAGGAAUGAAGAGCUUGUAUGAGGCUUUAAAGCUGUGAUUGGAGCUAGAUUGAAGCAAGAAAGACCCCUAGGAGCUGAAUGAGCGAGAAGACGAGAAUAAAAGAACAAAACAAAUGAAACCUGUACUAGCGUGCCCAGUAGCGCGCCCACAUGCGCGAUCGCGCUAGUCCAGAUUCCGGAACAGAAUCGUCAAGGGUAAUUUUGGAAGUCUAGGGGCAAAUUCACUUAACCAAUAGAAGGUCAAGCUCGCCCAAAAAUAGAAGUGUGCAGCUUUUAUUAGCUAAGAACAAGAAUAGGAAAGACAAGGAGCUAAGAGGAGUUUUCUACAUCAAGUUCUUCUUCUCGUCCUUUUGUUUUUAUGAUUUGUAAUGAAUUUUAUUAUUAUGAUGUUUAUCAUUGUUAUGAGUAGCUAACACUUUUAAUCUAAGGUUUUGGUUGAACCCGUUGUGGAUGAACUUAUUGUGAUAUUAAUAUAGUUUUGAGUUAGUUGUUAAUCUCUA